CAGCCGCCGCGGGAAUACAGAGGGUGCGAGCGUUAAUCGGAUUUACUGGGCGUAAAGCGUGCGUAGGCGGCUUCUUAAGUCGGAUGUGAAAUCCCUGAGCUUAACUUAGGAAUUGCAUUCGAUACUGGGAAGCUAGAGUAUGGGAGAGGAUGGUAGAAUUCCAGGUGUAGCGGUGAAAUGCGUAGAGAUCUGGAGGAAUACCGAUGGCGAAGGCAGCCAUCUGGCCUAAUACUGACGCUGAGGUACGAAAGCAUGGGGAGCAAACAGGAUUAGAGACCCCGGUAGUCCCUGUCUCUUAUAA
rnacentral:rRNA from 1 species